rnacentral:rRNA from 1 species
AACGGCGAGUGAAGCGGCAAAAGCUCAAAUUUGAAAUCUGGCUCCCUUCGGGGGCCCGAGUUGUAAUUUGCAGAGGAUGCUUCGGGUGCGGCCGCGGCGUAAGUCCCUUGGAACAGGGCGUCAUAGAGGGUGAGAAUCCCGUCUUGAGCCGCUGGUCCCGCGCCCGUGUGAAGCUCCUUCGACGAGUCGAGUUGUUUGGGAAUGCAGCUCUAAGUGGGUGGUAAAUUUCAUCUAAAGCUAAAUACUGGUCGGAGACCGAUAGCGCACAAGUAGAGUGAUCGAAAGGUUAAAAGCACCUUGAAAAGGGAGUUAAACAGCACGUGAAAUUGUUGAAAGGGAAGCGCUUGCGGCCAGACUCGGGGGCGGGGGUUCAGCGAGCUCUCGUAGCUCGUGCACUCUCCCGUUUCCCGGGCCAGCAUCAGUUUCGGCGGUCGGUCAAAGGCUCCGGGAAUGUGUCGUCUUUAGGGACGUCUUAUAGCCCGGGGUGCAAUGCGGCCUGCUGGGACUGAGGAACGCGCUUCGGCUCGGAUGCUGGCAUAAUGGCCGUAAGCGGCCCGUCUUGAAACACGGACCAAGGAGUCUAACAUCCACGCGAGUGUUCGGGUGUCAAACCCGUGCGCGAAGUGAAAGCGAACGGAGGUGGGAACCCUUAACGGGGGGCACCAUCGACCGAUCCUGAAGUCUUCGGAUGGAUUUGAGUAGGAGCGUGGCCGUUAGGACCCGAAAGAUGGUGAACUAUGCCUGAAUAGGGUGAAGCCAGAGGAAACUCUGGUGGAGGCUCGCAGCGGUUCUGACGUGCAAAUCGAUCGUCGAAUUU